UCUCUCCCAGAGGGCUGAAGGAAGAAAAAAUAUCCGCUGCACAGCUUUGGAAAUUAGCUGCUUGUCACUCACUGGCUCGGAGUGGGAUUUGGAUCUUGUGGCCUUCGCUCCAGAGCGCUGGACCGGCUCCCCAUUAGGCAAGAGACGUGCAGCUGGAAGGGGACCUGCUGCCAAGGCACUUCGGGUGAGGAAAGCCAGUUGCGGGCAGCUCCGCGGUAACGUGAGCCCUGGCUUCUGAGUGCCAUCAUUUAUCUGCAGGUCCCCAGGCACCUUCGAAACUAGGCACGUAGCCCUCCAUAGGCAUCUGAGGAUCCGGAGUGAGCCGGCCAGCACCUUCUCCCUGGAAAGGAAAUUUCGCGGUCAUAUCUUGGGGGAAGGAGCUCCAAGGGAAGUAUUCAGGUCCUUGGUCGUCUGGGUGGGGCAGCCAACUGGAAACUGACCCAGGGUGCCUUUCAAAAGGGUCACCCAUUGUCUAAUUUUAUAUUAUGCAAACUGACACUGCAAACCCAGAAUGGAUGGAGUCGGUGUUCAUGGGAGCUGGAUCUGGAGAGUAGAAUAUGUCGCCAUAGUUCCCCAGGCACAGGGUCCAUACUGUCUGAAGGAAGCCUGCGGGGGCUGGGGCAGCACAUCCUAAGGCAUUUGGCUGAUACUCGGUGCUCUGAAUUCAGAGUGGUGGGAAAACUGGAAUGGAAAACCAGGAGGGUGGACAGAAGCUGUGUCACAGGGGCAUAGGUGGGGCCAACACGGAAGAUCAGGCCCAAGCUGGGCUCCCCGCUGGCAGGUCUAGAGCCGCGCAACUCCUUGCAGGCCCCGCGGUCAGAAGUGCAAUGUUCUGCCUGACUUGGGCAGACUGACUCAGGAAUGGGGCUGACAGCAGGAUCUGGAGAGACGGAUCUACUUGGAUGCUUCCAGGCCUGCCAGGAUUCAGUUCCUGGGGUGCUGGUUGCGGUAUCACUGCCAAGUAAGGACACAUAUCAGAAGUUUGACCUGUAGCCAGAGGGAGAUUGAUUUAUUUCACAUAAGCCAACCACUCUAGAAAUCUGUUCAUUAAUUUAUUACUUUUUGUCCCAACUUAUGAAUUCUUUUGCUCCACUAGACUUGGUCCUGAUUAAAUUUUGACCAGUUGCAAAUCCCAAAUCCACCAGAGAAUUCUUCCUCAGAAAACUGUAACUGUUUCUGCUUCUCGAAAAUGAAAGCAUUCAGUGUUAGGCUCUUCAUCAAGGAUAAGGGCUUCCUCCCGUGACCUGGCCUCGACCUGCCUCCUCCUACCAUCUCCCACCCUACACAUGAGUGGAACCAGUGUACCUGCCAGGCCUCAAACUUACAAGAUUUAAAAAAUGACUCUUCCUUCUGGAUGGAGAAGAAACGAGACAUAGAUCCCAUCAUCAUUCCUUCCCCGUCCCUCUAGCCCUCUGGGUGAAAAUGCUGGAUGGACACGCUGACAAAAGCCAGCCAGCUCAAACGCAAGGCAGCAAGCAUGGCUGUGUACCGUCCUGGAUGUUGGAACAAGCCGAUGACUGACUUCUUUCCCACACUGGAAUGCUGGUUCAGGGAAGAAUGCAGCCAAGCUUUCUGGCCGCUGUGACCCUCAGCUACGACGGGCCUCCUACAUUCUCUUGCUUGUGCAUCAAGUCUUUGGCUACUCGCUGCCAAGUAUUAAGUACUUGUUCCACAAACCUGGUGUAGAUUAUCACUUCGCUGUAUAGAUGUAUCUAAUAGAAUUAAAUAGUUGGCUCCUGACCAGUAACAGAUGUGCUACAUAUAAUGCAAUAAUAAUGAGAUAGAAACCACCAUGUAAUAUCGAGGGAAGAGUGGAGGGCGACUUGCAUUUCUCUAGUUGGGAAGCCAGCUUGGAGGAAAAAGAAACUAGAAAGGAUGGCCAUUUAUGUGCAUUGAAUAAGCUGCCCCUAUGUGUUUCAAAUUCUCCAAGGGGUGUCUUUUGCACUCCCGCGCACAUACAUGGCAGGGGAGGCACACAGCGUGGGGAUGGCAUGGUUUGUGCUGGAGGGGGACGGAUCCAGCUCCAUAACCAUGCUGGAUCAGUCCCAUGCCCCCAAACUGGUGCUGCUCGGCAUUGGGGGACUGUAAUGAGAUCAUAACAGGAUAGUCUCUUGCAGGCUGCUCUAGGUGAGGGCUGACAAGUGAAACCUGAUCUCGGGAUAUCACCCACACGGACAGGAGUAAGGCAAAAGUAUAGAUGAGGACAGAAGGAAACCAGGCCACUGCUGGGCAGGUCCCCAGUGCAGGGGACUCCAGCGCUCUUUCCUGAACCUCCCUCAGAAUUGAGGGGUCUCUGGGCACGUGUUCUCUCUAAGAGUUGACAACUCUGGUUCCUGGGACUGCUCAUCAGGAGACCCAGAAGGGACUGUGCCUACAGUGAAGGAGCAGCCAAACUCGACCCUAGGGUCAAAAGGCAGCCGCGGGGGUGGAAUUCCUGCUAUGUAGCAGCGCUUCCUAUGAGUUCAGAGCCGGGCUGCUUUAUUCUGUUGCUGUUCCCUCCGUCUUCUUCCCCAUUGUCCCCCUCUUCUCUACGCUGCAAAACCAAUGUCGCUGAGUAACAAACAACCUCAAAACUUAAUAUAUGGCUUUUCCCCCCACAAGUUUAUGGGUCAUUCGGCCGAUCUGAGGGGCCUCACCAAACUGGCAGGGGACCGACUGGCUGGUCUAGGAUGGCCUUAGGUCCUCAUAGCUCUCCGGCCCUCCAGUAGGCUAGCCCCGCUAUGUUCUUAUGGCAGUGUCAGAGUUGUGAGAGAGAGCAAGGCCAGUUGCACAAGAGCGUUGGUGGAAACAGGCGUGCACUUCCAAACCACUUACAUCAUAUUUGCUAGUAUCCAAUUAGCCAAUCAUGUCUCAUCUGAGUGAGAAGGGACUGCAAAGUUACAGGGCAAAGGGCAAGGAUUCAGGGAGGCUGUUAAUUAGAGCCAUCGAUGCAGUCAUUCUAUUAUAGUAUACUUGGAAUUUUCCAGAGGCUUUCAAGUCUACAGGUUAGGUACAGUCAAUGAGACAGAUCAAUGACAUGCCCUAGAAACCCAAUCUUCCUUCAUUCCAUCCACAGAAAUGGUCAAGGGGCAGCUGGGCCAGUUUCUGGUUGUUUCCCCCUAGACUUCCAUCUUCUACUUUCCCACACACUGAUACUUUGGGAUCGCCUGCUUCUCCCGCUUCUCUUCCCCUGUCCUAACAUAUGCAUACACACUCACUUUCCGGGGACUCUUCCCGCCGCAAUUCUCAGCCCGUAAAAAAAAUGGGUAAGACGCUGACAAUCUGGGUGUGAGAGCACAGCAGACAGUCCCAGAGAGAUUAGGUAGCAAGAGAUGCAAGAUAAAGGUGAAAAACAGACUCGAGGCUGAGAGGAGUUCAAAUAAAACCAGGGCGCCCUGGGUCCAGAGGUGCAACUGAGGCCAAGACAAGAUGAGGGCAAACAGGCCCACCUCGUCAGGUAAACGAAAUCGAGGGCAGCAUAGACAAGCGGUCCUAACAGUACCAAAAGAAUCGCUCCAAAAGCGAAAAGAAAUGGAGCAUAAUAAUUGCUCAAUAAGUGUGUGUGGCCUGACUGGCUAGGAAACUAUUCUAAGAAACCAACGGAAUCUCAAACAAAGAUUUAGAAACAAGGAGAGUCAUCGAAGCAUAUUUGUAAGAUUGGAAACAAACAGAACUUCAACAAUAAGGACGUGAUUCAAUAAUUUAUGCUACAUCUAUAUAAUGGCAUAUCAUGCAGUUAUUUAAAACGAUGUUUUAAAUUAAAUUUUUAUGACUGCAGGAGAGCCUCGCCAUGUAAUUUGAAGUGAGAAAGCAAGUUACAAAACUACAUGCA